rnacentral:rRNA from 1 species
AACGUAGGACACAAGCGUUAUCCGGAGUUACUGGGCGUAAAGGGCGCGUAGGCGGUGCGAUCAGUCAGGCGUGAAAGGCCCGGGCUCAACCCGGGGACUGCGCUUGAUACUGUUGCGCUGUGAGUCCGGGAGAGGAUGGCGGAAUUCCCAGUGUAGAGGUGAAAUUCGUAGAUAUCGGGAGGAACACCAGAGGCGAAGGCGGCCACCUGGACAGAGAUUGACGCGUGAGACGCGAAAGCGUCGGGGAGCAAACAGG